AGCGAACGCUGGCGGCAGGCCUAACACAUGCAAGUCGAACGAACUCUUCGGAGUUAGUGGCGGACGGGUGAGUAACACGUGGGAACGUGCCUUUAGGUUCGGAAUAACUCAGGGAAACUUGUGCUAAUACCGAAUGUGCCCUUCGGGGAAAGAUUUAUCGCCUUUAGAGCGGCCCGCGUCUGAUUAGCUAGUUGGUGAGGUAAAGGCUCACCAAGGCUACGAUCAGUAGCUGGUCUGAGAGGAUGACCAGCCACAUUGGGACUGAGACACGGCCCAAACUCCUACGGGAGGCAGCAGUGGGGAAUCUUGCGCAAUGGGCGAAAGCCUGACGCAGCCAUGCCGCGUGGAUGAUGAAGGUCUUAGGAUUGUAAAAUCCUUUCACCGGUGAAGAUAAUGACUGUAGCCGGAGAAGAAGCCCCGGCUAACUUCGUGCCAGCCGCCGCAGUAACAC
rnacentral:rRNA from 1 species